rnacentral:sRNA from 1 species
UAGUGUAUGUUUGUCUAUAAGUUUUGCC